GCCCUCACGGCAGCAGCAGUGGGGAGGGAGCUUGCUCCUGGAUUCAGCGGCGGACGGGUGAGUAAUGCCUAGGAAUCUGCCUGGUAGUGGGGGAUAACGUCCGGAAACGGGCGCUAAUACCGCAUACGUCCUGAGGGAGAAAGUGGGGGAUCUUCGGACCUCACGCUAUCAGAUGAGCCUAGGUCGGAUUAGCUAGUUGGUGGGGUAAAGGCCUACCAAGGCGACGAUCCGUAACUGGUCUGAGAGGAUGAUCAGUCACACUGGAACUGAGACACGGUCCAGACUCCUACGGGAG
rnacentral:rRNA from 1 species